rnacentral:piRNA from 1 species
UAACAUUUCGAGUUGGUCUGGUGGAGU